rnacentral:rRNA from 1 species
GUGGGGAAUUUUGGACAAUGGGCGCAAGCCUGAUCCAGCAAUGCCGCGUGCAGGAAGAAGGCCUUCGGGUUGUAAACUGCUUUUGUACGGAACGAAACGGUCCGGGUUAAUACCCUGGGCUACUGACGGUACCGUAAGAAUAAGCACCGGCUAACUACGUGCCAGCAGCCGCGGUAAUACGUAGGGUGCAAGCGUUAAUCGGAAUUACUGGGCGUAAAGCGUUCGCAGGCGGUUUUGUAAGACAGGCGUGAAAUCCCCGGGCUCAACCUGGGAAUUGCGCUUGUGACUGCAAGGCUGGAGUGCGGCAGAGGGGGAUGGAAUUCCGCGUGUAGCAGUGAAAUGCGUGGAUAUGCGGAGGAACACCGAUGGCGAAGGCAAUCCCCUGGGCCUGCACUGACGCUCAUGCACGAAAGCGUGGGGAGCAAACAGGAUUAGAUACCCCGGUAGUCC